rnacentral:lncRNA from 1 species
AAUUUCACCCAAAUCACCAAAUCACCUUCUUCCUUACACACCAAAUCACCAAAUCUCUUCGAUUUCCCUAACCCUCGUCGCCGGCCCAGCCUUCUCCACCAAAUCUCUUCGAUUUCCCUUACCCUCGUCGCCGCCCCAGCCUUCUCUGGCCGCUGAUCCAGCCUUCUCCGGCCGCCGUCGGUUCGCCCUGCCCCGUCUCCUUCGAUCGAUAGCCCACCGCCCUCACCUAGCCUUUCCCGGACGACUCCGUCUGACAACUCCGCAGCUGCAGCAGUUUCCAACGCCUAAGUUCCCAUGGAAGAAUCGAGACAUCGUCGGAAAACCUAGCUCUAGGCCUUUCGGAGUAUCCCGCAGCGAUUCUAUUGCUAGCCUCGCUGUUAAGUAUCCCGUUCAGGUAUUCUAUUGCUAAUCGAAUUUAUUUUCGCGAAUUUUGAUUAUGCUCAAGCCUAGGCUAUGUGUAAAAUACUAUAGUCUUGUAGUACACAUCACGCACUUCGUUAGUAGAGGUGGAAUGGUCAGAUUGGUUUCUAAUGCUGGGUUGGGGGUGGGGGAUGCAGUAACACUAAGGCUUGGAGUUUGUUUGAUUGGUGCUGUUCAAAUUGAUGUCAUUAAUAUUAGGUGUUGAUUUGCUCAUCUGUAAAGGGGAUGUAUAUGUGGAUAAUUAAUCCCUAUGCAGUUUCUAAUUUAAAUUUUGCAUAUUUAUGUGUUUGGUUGCACAUAUUGCUAGCUAUGGUUGGAUGGAACUAUAAUUUCGACUGAAAUGAGGUGACAUUUAACAUCUUUAUACUGUUUAGCUGAUGUUAUUAAAUUUUGUAUUUCUGUGGUUGGAGAUUUUGGGAAUUCUCAAAUGUGAGUCAUUAUAUGAGGGUGAUUUGGUUAUUGGUAUUAGUAAUUAUCAGUUGGUCACCUUACAUGUCAAGAUUGAUCUCUUUCUGAAUGCAAUGGUGCCUCUCUUCCCGUUUCGAUGUAAAUUGGAUAAUUCUGUAACAGAUUGUUUAAUUUCCAUUUAAGUAGCCGUUUGCAUAAUCUUGGAUCAAAAGUGCAGGUGGUAGAAAAAAUAAGGCCGUUUCUAGUUUUAAUUAUAAGCUAAAGUUUUAACAUUGAAUAUUGUUCAUUUCUUUGAAUAGUGAAACUAGUGAGAUGUGAUUUGUUGGUGGUGGAGAUACCUGCGAGGAAUGUGAAGCUUCAUUUUCUAAUGCCACAUGGUUGCAUUCUUUGAAACACAGAGGCAGAUGAAAUUUUUCUGAGGAUGAGGUAAUAUAGCUUGGCUCAUGUUGUUGAAUUUUAUAGCAGAGGAAAACAUCGAGUAGGAAUGAUUAAAUUUUAUAAUAUUAUUAUCAAGACUAAUUCUUUUUUAAUUAUCAACCGUGGUUUAAUAAAUUCUUCUAAAAUAUUCAUUUACAUCUUAUGUUUGUUUCUUUCAUUUUUAUCAAGUCUUGGGGUGCAUAUAUCUGAUCAAACACUUUUAACAAGUUUUUUGUUUAUUGAAGUUUUUAUUGAUUAAUAGCUUUUCUGCUUUUCAUUUUAUUAAGCAGCUACACAUGUUAAUAGCUCUAUGCUAGCAGAGAGUCUAUCUACAAAAGUACAAAAAGUAAGGGCCUUCUAUUUAUUCCAUUUUUAUAAUAGUCUUCAUCUUUAUUAUACAACUUAAGGCAAAAAGUUGGUCCAUGAUUUGAGGCUUAAACCAUAGUGUGUUGUUGAGUUUCUCGUAAUUUUUGAGAUUUAUAUUAUUGUCAAUUAGUUUGUUAAUGAUUUGGUCCAUGGAGCUGCUCUGAGUAGGCAACCAGCAUUCGUCCAUAAUGAAAAAGCCUCUGGAGGAGAUCAACAUUUUCUGUUCGAUGGAGAUUAUAUUCAGGUUAAUUAGGAAACUCAUUGCUGUUAAAAUAAUAAGCUAAGUUUACUUUUAGUUUCUAAAGGUUAAUUGUUUCUUGAACCUAAACUUUUCUAGUAAGGUGACAGUCAACUUUGAAUAAUUACUCUUUAAGUUUUUGAAUGGAUGUUUGGGCUUCGUCGCAUUUGAGGGUUGCUUGAUGAGAACAAGAAAAUUAUUUGUUAGUGAUGAGCUUGAUAUUGCUCUAGUUCUUUAAAAUUUUAAAACUCUUUAGAGUGGGGGUGGUGUAAUGAGUUUUAUCUUCUAAUUAGGAUUGAUUGAAUACAUAGAAUUUAUUGCAUUUGAUUUUCAGUUUCCAGGUACAGGAAAAGAGACAGAGGAAACUAAUUUACUGCAGCAGCUAUCUGACGCAUGCCUGGUUGUUGAUGCUCUUGAGCCAUCAGUAAGGGAAGAGUUAGUAAAGAACCUCUGUAGUAGAAAGCUUACUUCAUACCAGCAAAUUUUUGAGGGAGCAGGUUUGUCUUAUUGCUUUACUUUGAUUUUUGUUAUUGCCUUCCAAUUUUCCUGAAGUACUUUGUUACUUGGAAUUUGAAACUUGGGUAUAUUCUAUUAGAUAUUUGUUUCAUAUCAUUUACACCAUCAUUUACCAACCUCAUAUAUCAUAUCAUUAUAAUUUGUAACCUCUCUCUCUCUCUCAAUUUAAACACAUGCAUGUUAAACUGUCCUACAGUAUACAUAAUAUUCAAAUUCUUAUCUUUGUAUCAUAAUCUAACAUCCUGCUAAAUAUUAGAUGAUGAAACUCUCUUCUUACUGACUUGGCUAUGAGUUUCAUGAUGAUACGUGUAAUUAUACAGAGAUUAUUUUCAUAAAAAAAGGCUUGAAUAUUGAAAUAUAAAGUGAGGUUUUGUUCAUGCCAAGCUUUUCUCUAGUUUAAGAAAGGAAAAAAUGACAUUCACGAAAACAUAUAGUAAAUAACAUGUUCAAUACAUAUUUCAAUAUUUGAAUAUGUUUUAGAAAUUCAAUCAGUAUUUUUUAGAAAUUCAACUGAUGUUAGAUCAUGAUACAAAAUAAUAGCAUUAUUUGGAUAUUAUUAUUGAUAGAACAUAUAGAAUACAUGUAAACAGUUUAGGGGUACUUUAAAUAAAUUUUCCAUAUAUAUUUUGUGUGCGCCUUUCAUUUUCAUUUGGAUACUAAAGGAAUAUAGAGUUUUGAAAUGAUGAGGCCGCCACACCUAAGUUGAUCAAGAAUCAUGAUCCUACUCGGAUUUAUGGUUCAGCUGUCAUAAGUUCUCACAUUAAGAAUUUUUGCUCAAAUAAACAUGACAUUCCAAUCAUUACCAAAUUAUAGCACAUCGCUGUAAUUGAAUAAAUCAACUCACAUAAUUUCAGUUUUGACAUGUUUCUGACAUUUAAUUAUGAUGAUAUUAUGCAUAAUUGUGUUGACAAGUCUAAUAUUAUGCUUCUUCAUUGAUCUGUUUUUGCUUCAUUGAAGCUGUAAUGAGUUAUAGAUUGUGUAUCUAUUCUUAGUGUUUUUUUUCAGGGUGCUGAACUUGCUGCAUAGGAAAGAAAGAGUGCAGCAUUGGCAGCUUGUAGGACGUUGGCUGAAGAUCUAACCGAGCAUUUGGAUGUAAAUUAAAUUUAAUGACUACUUUAGGUACUUUGAAGCUACAAUGUUUGGAAGUUUAAGUUAUUUUAUAUAAUAUAUUUUUUGGAUUGUAUUAUUUGAGAAUAUUGUAUAUUUGUAUGAUUUUAAAUUAGGAAAUUACAAAAAACAGGA